GAUGAACGCUGGCGGCGUGCUUAACACAUGCAAGUCGAACGUGAGGGUGUAGCAAUAUGCCUGAAAGUGGCGAACGGGUGAGUAAGACGUAGAUGAGCUGCCCUGGAGUGGGGGAUAACCAUUGGAAACGGUGGCUAAUACCGCAUACAUCCAGAAGAUUGGGAAAUUUUCUGGGGAAAGCUCUGGUGCUCUGGGAGGGGUCUGCGUCCGAUUAGCUAGUUGGUGAGGUAAAGGCUCACCAAGGCGACGAUCGGUAGCUGGGCUGAGAGGACGAUCAGCAACACGGGAACUGAGACACGGUCCCGACUCCUACGGGGGGCAGCAGUGAGGAAUAUUGGGCAAUGGGCGAGAGCCUGACCCAGCAACGCCGCGUGGAGGAAGACGGCCUUCGGGUUGUAAACUCCUUUUGACAGGGAAGAGAGAGGACGGUACCUGUCGAAUAAGUCACGGCUAACUACGUGCCAGCAGCCGCAGUAACAC
rnacentral:rRNA from 1 species